rnacentral:misc_RNA from 1 species
CCUGUUCGAGCGUCAUUAUAACCCUCAAGCUCAGCUUGGUGUUGGGGCCUGCCAUUUGGCAGCCCUUAAAACUAGUGGCGGUGCAUCUGGCUCUAAGCGUAGUAAUUUUUCUCGCUAUGGAGACCCGGUGGGUGCUUGCCAUCAACCCCCAAUUUUCUAUGGUUGACCUCGGAUCAGGUAGGGAUACCCGCUGAACUUAA